UCAUGGUCCCCUCGGCCGCACAGGUGGCCCAGACACAUCUGACAUUAGCGCUGCGAUUUAUUCACCGCUCCACGCCUUCGGCCGGACUUCCAGUUCACUUAACUGCGCUAAGUCUGUUCCUGGCGUAGCGUUUGUCUUACUUAGUCAAGAGUGCUUUUGCCUACAUUAGUUUGUGGUGUGUAAGGAGCCAUGGCAAGAUAAUAGUUUCUUACAUGGUGUACCUUUUUUAUUUCUUUUACAGUCAAGAGUGCUUUUGCCUGUAGAGGAAGGACCCAGGAUUUUACAGUUAUGACUACAGAUAACUGCAAACACAGCUCCAGAUCGUCAUCUUGUGUUUUAAGCGUAGUCAGGCUUUGUUAUGACAAGGAGAGGAGUAUGUGAUACUUGCGUACGCCUACUCGAACAGAUGCAGAUGCACAUUUUUCCCUUGGCCUCGUCAGGGUACCCAGGAGAAUCCCAUUGGCUCCAGUGAUAUUGACUGACCCUCUCGCAUGGAAUAAGGAAAUAAAAUUAGUAAGGGGAAAGCAAAUUGAAUAUUGACCAUGGCAAUUUGUAUCCUAACUGUGAGCACAGACAAAGUCAGACCCGAAUUCUCUUGUGCAAGGUGCUGUCCAAACAAUACACAGACAAUAUACCCGGUUCCAGAAAAGCAAAAUCAGGAAAUAGGCUUAAUGGUGAAGCAAUAUCAGAAAAAAUGGUGAAGCAAAAUCAGGAAAUAGGCUUAAUGGGGAAGCAAUAUCAGAAAAUAUGUUUAAUGGUAAAAUUUAUUAGACUCUGGAAAAUUAAAUUCAUGAGGGAGGUUAUGGAAACCUCACAGAUUGGGUAAGGGUGUAAUUUUCUAUUAAAUUGCUAAGUGGAAAAUCCCAGAGGCAAUCAAUAUGCUACUUCUGGAAUUUUCCUAAACUUCACUAUAAGACUUUGUGAAAGGAAACUGGGCUAACGUACUAUUUAAAAUCCUGCAUUAUAUAUUUUUGGGAGGAUGCUGAAGCAGCAAAGGUAGAUGGAUGUCAUAUGCUGCUUGCGAAGUUGUGUGGGUCCAAUUAAUCGCUGGUGCAGCGCAGUGAAGCCAAAUCUGAGAGGCAGCAGCAGUGUGUCUAAAUUUUGUGUACAAGAAAGUAUUUUCACUUCUUUUUUUCUUCCCCAUCCCAAACCAGUUUGCUGAUUCCUGUCUGCAAGCUUUAUUUUACAAGACUUGGACUGUUGCUGAAACUGCUGUGUUUGACUCCCAUCCUUCCUGGGACAAUAGGAGAAUUUUUAUAAAGCAUAAGGCCUUCAUUUACUGUUCAACUCACAUGAUAGGCUUUAUCCUGCAUUUACCAAAGGAAUGUGCUACAAAAGUAAAAAAAGUAUUUUCUGUUUUCCUCUGUUGCUCAAUUUUGUGAAACAUAUUGGAGUAUAAUUUAUGAAAAAAUAAUGGCAGUGUUUUCUCAACUGCUGUCUUUCUCCUUUCAGUUCUUCCUUCUCUGUGUUGGAUUUUUUUUUUUGCUUAAAGGGACAGUCAUGAUUCAAAAUCACAUUUCAGUCUGGAUGCUGCACACUGCAGUUUUAAGUAACAUUUUAUGGGAGUUAACACAUCCCCUUUUUCAUUAGUAUGUCUCACUUUGCUUCUUGUGAAUUAAAGAGAUUCACUCUUUUCUACAUGCAGAAUGAGCCUGAUCCUGCAAACACACCUAAUUAUGGUUAUCCAAAGGAGUAAAUAUGUACAUUUUCAUUUAAGAAAGUAUUAGCCAGUUUGGAUACCUGGGCCGUGAUCCUCUCGUCUGCAUAGAAGUGAAUUAGAAACUAGGACAAGGUGACUUUAGGUCAAAGUCUUCACACAACACGGAGGAGGAUCCCAUAGCUGAAACCCCAAGCUUUCCAUCUUUUAUACCGCUGAAGUUUCUCAGCCACGACUUAGGAAAAAACUACUCCAAGAACAAAAAAACUCCCGUGUACAAGCCUGGAAAAGUUCAGCGUGGUGUUAAGAAGCAGGAGAAGGGUGAAGAAGUAAAUCAGAGAUCAGGAGCUGCGCAGGUGACAGGUUAACAGCAGCUGGCGGCAGAUGUAAGAGUGCAGCCACGGCAAGAGUCAGGAGCUACGGAUGGAAAGUGAAUGCAGAAUCAGCUGCAGAACAAUAGCAUUUAGCAAUGUUCGACAGCUCCUCGAUGCUGCGGGAUGAAGCCGACCAGACAACAGCCAUCCUGCUGAAGACACAUGCAGCAGCAUUUUCAAUAAUGUGCCCCUCUGUGGAUUUACCCUCAGAGAUGUGGAGAUAUCGAAGACUCCAUCACCCAUUCAAUCCAUGACCUCUCUGCUGAGGCAGCUGAUGCACCUGAAUGGGUAUUUUCUCAGAGAUGAACACAUACUGAAGGGGUCAAAAUGACAACAAAGAAGUAUCAUCAUUUAAUAACAACUUCAGGAGAUUUCUUGUCUGGGUUGAAUGGAAGCUAAUGAACUCAGAAGUGCAAGAUGCUCAACCAUUUAUCUUCUGUAUGCUUAAAAAUAGAAGAAAAACAGAUGUAUUUAUGAGCUUUUCUACCAUCCAAUGAGAUCUAUUUGGCACUGGGAGACGGGGAGUCUGUUAUGUUUAUUCACUUAUAAUUUGAAUACAGCUAAAAUGUCUCAAAAAUGAUGGUUGUGAAGUAUGGACCUUGCUUUGGGGGAGGUUGAGGAGAGAGGCAAUUGUAUGGAUCUUAAACUCAAUGCACAGAAUUCGAGAAACCAGUCUGCACUUGCAGGGAUUAGUCCUGUUACUUCAUCUUUCCCAGAAAGAGUUUGCUGCUUGCAUAUCUGUAUUGCUGACUGAUGCUGGGAGUAAAUAUGUUCUCUGCUUAACAUGGUUUGCCCUGUACUGUUGAAGUGCUACAAAGAACAUCUACAGAAAUAUCAACAACAUAAAAAAAGCAUGAUCAUU